AGUCGAACGGAGAGGCCCUGCUUGCAGGGUACUCGAGUGGCGAACGGGUGUGUAACACGUGGGUGAUCUGCCCUGCACUUCGGGAUAAGCCUGGGAAACUGGGUCUAAUACCGGAUAGGAGCCAUUUUUAGUGUGAUGGUUGGAAAGUUUUUUCGGUGUAGGAUGAGCUCGCGGCCUAUCAGCCUGUUGGUGGGGUAAUGGCCUACCAAGGCGGCGACGGGUAGCCGGCCUGAGAGGGUGGACGGCCACAUUGGGACUGAGAUACGGCCCAGACUCCUACGGGAGGCAGCAGUGGGGAAUAUUGCACAAUGGGCGCAAGCCUGAUGCAGCGACGCCGCGUGGGGGAUGACGGUCUUCGGGUUGUAAACUCCUUUCGCUAGGGACGAAGCUUUUUGUGACGGUACCUAGAUAAGAAGCACCGGCUAACUACGUGCCAGCAGCCGCGGUAAUACGUAGGGUGCGAGCGUUGUCCGGAAUUACUGGGCGUAAAGGGCUCGUAGGUGGUUUGUCGCGUCGUCUGUGAAAUUCCGGGGCUUAACUCCGGGCGUGCAGGCGAUACGGGCAUAACUUGAGUACUGUAGGGGUAACUGGAAUUCCUGGUGUAGCGGUGAAAUGCGCAGAUAUCAGGAGGAACACCGAUGGCGAAGG
rnacentral:rRNA from 1 species